UACGUAGGGUGCGAGCGGUAAUCGGAAUUACUGGGCGUAAAGCGUGCGCAGGCGGCUUUGCAAGACAGAUGUGAAAUCCCCGGGCUCAACCUGGGAACUGCAUUUGUGACUGUAUAGCUAGAGUACGGUAGAGGGGGAUGGAAUUCCGCGUGUAGCAGUGAAAUGCGUAGAUAUGCGGAGGAACACCGAUGGCGAAGGCAAUCCCCUGGACCUGUACUGACGCUCAUGCACGAAAGCGUGGGGAGCAAACAGG
rnacentral:rRNA from 1 species